UACAGAGGUCUCAAGCGUUGUUCGGAUUCAUUGGGCGUAAAGGGUGCGUAGGCGGCGCGGUAAGUCGGGUGUGAAAUCUCGGAGCUUAACUCCGAAACUGCAUUCGAUACUGCCGUGCUUGAGGACUGGAGAGGAGACUGGAAUUUACGGUGUAGCGGUGAAAUGCGUAGAUAUCGGGAGGAACACCAGUGGCGAAGGCGGUUGCCUGGGGCUUUGCUGACGCUGAGGCGCGAAAGCGUGGGGAGCGAUCCGG
rnacentral:rRNA from 1 species